GACCUAGUAGCGGAUGGACCGCGCCUGCAUUCAGCGGCAAUACUUACAGAUUUCUGCUGCAGGAACCCCUGGUUCGACUCCAGGCUAGGUCA